rnacentral:lncRNA from 1 species
UGUGAGUAGCCAGCAUUGCCACCUGAGCCCAUGUUCAUGUUUGUCGUCUGUAGUUCCUCCACGGGUCUGGUCUAUCCCUUCAACUUUCUUUUCAUCCAUCCUGUACCUCCUUGGAAGAGGGCAGAAAAAUAUGCUUUUCCUUGCAAGAGAGCAGACAAAGGCAAAGAGAAAGCAAACCGUAUAAGAAGUCUGGUUUAAGGUUCCCUUGGCUUGACCAAGAAAUCAUUUCACCAAACGUCAGUCAGACUAUCAGGUACCUGGAUCAACCCUAAAGCUCACAAUGUGAUGUGGCCUUCUCAGCAAAGCUACCCAGUCCAACGUGCUCUGAGAUGUGACAUGACAAGGAAGCAAUGCAGCAGAGGGGGCCUUCAGAAGAUCAUAGUUGACUGCCACCAAUGAAGCUCUCAUAUUAAAAUCACAGGGAAGACGCUGGUAAUGUCUUAAACAACUUAAAGCUAACUUUUAUAUUGCCAUUGUGAAUCCUGGGACAGGACCACUGAGCUGGUUCAGAAGACAGGAGCUUAGCGUAACUGUCCUCUGAGAGGGAACCCUGAAUAGCUGACUGAAACAGAUGCAGAGACCAACAACUAAACAUUAGACUUGUAGAAGACUUGGGGAAGAAUGGAGAAACAUGGAUGGGGAUAUUGACCAUACAGAAAGACCAAUAGAGUCGCAGGUGUCCGAACUCAACAACAAUCCAGGUCCAAAGGAAAAUGCAGAUUACACACUGGAACUCUAGGAAGAAAACAGCUCCAUUCUGUCCAUUGAAACGGCUUCUUAUUCACCGCUCACUAAUGACUGAUGUCCGAAAUGAAUUAGGAAGAUUCCCUUCUGACCUAAGAACCAUCAGAAGGUAUUUCCCAAGCAAGAAAUAAAAUAAAACCUGCAGCUCGAGGUCUACACUCAUCAGUGGGAGAGUAAUUUGGAUUAAUUUUCAGGUAGGAAUUGACAUGGUUCUGAGGACAUCCAGGACACCUUCAGGACCAGUAUUACCUCAGAGCGCGGGACUGAGAACUGGACUACAAAUUUGCUUUUCAAUGGGGA